rnacentral:lncRNA from 1 species
CUCCCCUCUGCAUGCUGAGCACAUCCUCACCAGAGUACAGCGCACAGACUGCUGAAGGGCCAGCAAGGCGGUGUGCAGUGCCCCACUGCCCUGCUCUGGCCACAGCGCUGUUUAAGUGCAAACUGCAUGGAAAGCGGAGGACAGGAAGUUUUGACAGGUUUGUUGGUGCGGUAAACAGGAGCAACACGUUCAAGAGGGAC